rnacentral:rRNA from 1 species
AUUGAGUUUGAUCCUGGCUCAGAAUAAACGCUAGCAAUAGGUUUUAUACAUGUUAAUUGAACGUUUUUUAACGUAGUGAAUAGGUGAGUAAUACACAAGAAACUGCCUCUUAGUUUGGGAUAAAAUACCAAAUACUUACAAAGAUUUAUAUCGCUAAGAGAUGUGCUUGUGCAAGAUUAGGUUGUUGGUAAGGUAAAAGCUUACCAAGCCCACGAUCUUUAGUUGAUUUGAAAGAAUGUUCAACCACACAGGGACUGAGACAAGGCCCUGGCUUUUUUAAAGCCAGCAGUAGGGAAUAUUGGACAAUGAGCGAAAGCUUGAUCCAGCUAUAUUGCGUGAGGGAUGACAGCUUAUUUGGUUGUAAACCUCUUUUAUUAAGGAAAAUGAUGAUUUACUUAAAGAAAAAGUCCUGGCUAAUUUCGUGCCAGCAGCCGCGGUAAUACGAAAAGGGCAAGCGUUAUUCGUUGUAAUUUGGUGUAAAGGGUUCGUAGGCGGCAUUAAGGUUGUUCAAGAUUAAACCAAAAAGCUUAACUUUUUACCAAACUUGAAAACACUUUUGCUAGAGUAUAAAAGAAGAUUAUGGAAUUUCAGAAGGAGAGGUAAAAUUCGAAGAGCUCUGAAGGAACACCUAUAGCGAAGGCAAUAAUCUAUUUUAUUAAAUACUGACGUUGAGGAACGAAAGGAUAGGUAGCAAACAGGAUUAGAUACCCUGGUAGUCUAUCCCGUAAACGAUGAAUGCUCGUGUUUAGAAUCUUGUAUAUUUUAGACACCUAGUUAACACGUUAAGCAUUCCACCUGAGGAGUAUAGUCGCAAGGCUGGAACUCAAAGGAAUUGACGGGGGCCAACACAAGUGGUGGAACAUGUGGUUUAAUGCGAUAAUACGCGCGAAAUCUUACCAGCUUUUGUAUUUUAAAUGAUCUCGUAUUUUACGAGUUAUCUUAAAUAUGCGUUUGAGAUAAAUCUUUAAAACAGGUGUUGCAUGGCUGUCGUCAGCUCGUGUUGUGAAAUGUUUGGUUAAGUCCUUUAACGAGCGCAACCCUUUUUUUUAGUUGCCAGUUUGAAAAAACGCACUCUAAAAAGACUAUUUAUGAUGAGUAAAUGGAAGAAGGAUGACGUCAAGUCCUCAUGGCCCUUAUAAGCUGGGCUACACACGUGUUACAUUGGUAACUACAAAAGGCAGCUAAAAAGAAAUUUGGAGCAAAUCCCUAAAAGUUAUCUUAGUUCGGAUUAUUGACUGCAACUCGUCAAUAUGAAGUUGGAAUCACUAGUAAUCGUGAAUCAGAACGUCACGGUGAAUUUGUACCUUGGCCUUGUACACACCGCCCGUCACAUGCCGGGAGUUAGUUUUACCUUAAAAAUACAAAAUAACCAAAAGAGAAUUUUUUUGGGGUUUUUAUUUCACGGCGAAAUUAGUAACUGGGAUGAAGUCGUAACAAGGUAGGCGUACGGGAACGUGCGGCUG